rnacentral:rRNA from 1 species
AUGGUUAUGUUACAAUAUGUACCAUAUACAUACAUAGGUACAGAAGCUAUACAUAGUCUAAGAGUGCGGUAUCUGCAUGACGGUCUCCACCUUCUUCUUGCGCAGGACCUGGAACGCCGAUCUUGGCAGGAAGUUGGGGAGGUUGACGCCCUUGGUCUCCUCCAGAACUCUCACCUCCUCCAUCAGGAACAGGCCGCCACGCCCUGGGACUUCUACAGGCAGCUUCUUUGCGUAUGCAUUGAGCAUCUCCGCGAUACGGGCCGUGCCGUGGAAAUGGCAGUCAUCAGGGAACUCAUCGAACUCGCCCCUCACCAGUAUCUUCUCCAGGGAAGAGCACACCUGCUUGACAAUACGAAUAAACUCUCUCACCGCGUCAGCGACGCUAACAAGAUCAGGCGGCAUCUGGUUGAGCUCGGUGCUGCUCCGGCUAAGGCGGUCGUUGAUCUGCUUGACGAUGCCCGGGAGGCACUUGGCGAUGAUGGUCGCCUGAAUCUGCAUGAGUCGCUGCGCAAGCACAGGAAUGCCCACCAUGGACUUCUCGAUCUUGGACAGCAGAUGGUGGUACUUGAACAGCUUCUCCUCCUCUACACGAGCCUGGUCAUAGGUCUCGUCCCCGAUGCGGUUGCGGACACAGACGUACCCGAGGCCAAUGUUGACGUCGUCCAUGGUGACCUUCUCGAGCAGGCCCUCGGGGGACUUGUCCACCUUGGUGACCACUGCAAGCGUGCGCUCACCAGUGCGGUCCACCUGCUGCGACAUGCGGAUGGACUCGCACGUCGGGAAGUCGACCGUGGCAGAGAGCACGUUCAAGAUAAUGCUCUCUUUCGGCGAGAUGUAGUCCUUGAUGAUCUUGGCGAUCUGGUCGUAGAUGUCGUCGGGCUGCCCUUUGACCGGCACGCGCGUGAUGCCGGGGAGGUCGACGAGGGUGAGGUCGGGCACGCCCCGCUUGCGCACGACGAGGGUGAUGGGCGCGUCGGAGAUCCCCUUGCCCGACCCGGCUAUCUCCGCGGUGGCGGUGUUGAUGGCGUCCGCGACAUUGGCCUCCGUGGUGGUCACCACGCGGCCGUUGAUGUGCUCAAGCUGCAGCACCGGCGAGUCGGCGGAGGGGUCGUCCUGGAGCCGCAUGACGAGCGGCACGCGGGUGCAGAUGCCCUGGCCGCGAGGGAGGCUGAUGCCGGCCAGGGACUCAAGGACGCUCGACUUGCCGCUGGACUGGUCGCCGACAACCACGAUCGUCGGGAGCUGGAUGCCCUCCUGCGUCACCUUGAGGUGGCGCAGGCGGUCCACAGCGUCGAGAAGCGGCCGUAUCUGGUCGUUGUACGACGCGGCGAUUGCGCUCCCGGUCACGGCGCUGGCCGCGGCCUCGCCCUUGCCGUCGCUGAUCACCAUCUGGAGAUUCUUGGACGAGUCUGA